AACACAUCCCUGAGCUGUAGAGCUGAUGUCUGGGUGACAGGGUAUUCAUUCAUACAAAGAAAACAACCUGGAAUGGCAGUGUUUGGAUUUCUUGUGUGCUUAUUUCUUCAUAGGAUUGAGAAAGGGUGAGGCUAAAGUCCCAGGCCCUCGUGAAGCAAUGAAGAAAGUGCCUUCCCAAGGUUCAGGCCCACACGGCGCUGUGAGGCUGAAGGGGCGCGCUAGAACUUCCUUUCACAGGAUGCCACCUCACCUGAAACCCUCCUUUUCGGCUGCCACCCGAGGGACAAGAUCUCCUGAGUCUGUCCAUGAGUUACCCCGAGGAAAACCCUCAGGCAGCCCCUGAGGGACUCUGUUCUGGACUUGGAAGUGUUUUUCUCAGUGACACCUCUAGAGGGCAGCACUCAACGGAGUCCCACAGACACCUCCCAGCAUUUCCUGCUCAAACACUGGAAGGAUGACCUGGUAACGCUGGGGACUGCUUGGGUGUUCUCCUGGAAGCUCCUGAUUUUAAUCACCUGUUUACUUGUCUCCAUUCUUAUAGCUUGCUGCAACCUCCCUGCCUUGGGGUCCUGUGAUUCUCCUGCCUUGGUCUGCCGAGUGCCUGGGAUUGCAGGCGCGCACCGCCACGCCUGACUGGUUUUUGUAUUUUUGGUGGAGACGGGGUUUUUCCGUGUUGACUGGGCUGGUCUCCAGCUCUUGACCUUGAGUGAUCUGCCCACCUCGGCCUCCCAAGGUGCUGGGAUUGCAGACAGAGUCUCGCUCACUCAAUGCUCAAUGUUGCCCAGGCUGGAGUGCAGUGGCGUGAUCUCGGCUCGCUACAACCUCCACCUCCCAGCUGCCUGCCUUGGCCUCCAAAAGUGCUAAGAUUACAGCCUCUGCCUGGCUGCCACCUCGUCCAGGAAGUGAGGAGUGUCUCUGCCUGGCCACUCAUCGUCUGGGAUGUGAGGAGCGCCUAUGCCUGGCCACCCCGUCUGGGAAGAAGUGAGGAGUGCCUCUGCCCGGCUGCCACCCCGUCUGGGAGAUGAGGAGCGCCUCUGCCCGGCCGCCCAUCAUCUGGGAAGUGAGGAGCGCCUCUGCCCGGCCGCCCAUCGUCUGGGAAGUGAGGAGUGCCUCUGCCCGGCUGCCCUGUCUGGGAAGUGAGGAGUGCCUCUACCUGGCCGUCCCAUCUGGGAAGUGAGGAGUGCCUCUGCCCGGCCGCCACCCCAUCUGGGAAGUGGGGAGCGCCUCUGCCAAGCUGCCCCAUCUGGGAUGUGAGGAGCACCUCUGCCCAGCCACCCCGUCUGGGAACUGAGGAGCGCCUCUGCCCGGCUGCCCCAUCUGAGAAGUGAGAAGUGCCUCUGCCUGGCAGCUGCCCCAUCUGGGAAGUGACGAGCAUCUCUGCCCAGCCGCCCCAUCUGGGAAGUGGGGAGCACCUCUGCCCGGCCAUCCCGUCUGGGAAGUGGGGAGCUCCUCUGCCCGGUUGCCCCAUCUGGGAAGUGAGGAGUGCCUCUGCCCGGCCACCCCAUCUGGGAGGUGAGGAGCGCCUCUGCCCGGCCGCCCAUCGUCUGGGAUGUGAGGAGUGCCUUUGCCCAGCUGCCUCGUCUGGGAGGUGUACCCAACAUCUCCAAAGAGACAGAGACCAUCGAGAACAGGCCAUGAUGACGAUGGUGGUUUUGUCAAAAAGAAAAGGGGGAAAUGUGGGGAAAAGAAAGAGAGAUCAGAUUGUUACUGUGUCUGUGUAGAAAGAAGUAGACAUAGGAGACUCCAUUUUGUUCUGUACUAAGAAAAAUUCUUCUGCCUUGGGAUGCUGUUAAUCUAUAACCUUACCCCCAACCCCGUGCUCUCUGAAACAUGUUCUGUGUCAACUCAGGGUUAAAUGGAUUAAGGGCGGUGCAAGAUGUGCUUUGUUAAACAGAUGCUUGAAGGCAGCAUGCUCAUUAAGAGUCAUCACCACUCCCUAAUCUCAAGUACCCAGGGACACAAACACUGCGGAAGGCCACAGGGACCUCUGCCUAGGAAAACCAGAGACCUUUGUUCUCCUGUUUAUCUGCUGACCUUCUCUCCACUAUUAUCCUAUGACCCUGUCACAUCCCCCUCUCCGAGAAACACCCAAGAAUGGUCAAUAAAUACUAAAAAAAAAAAAAAAAAAAAAAAGAACUAAAAGUUCUAAAGACUUAGAUUCACCUGUAAGUUCUAGGAAAUUGCUCUCAAAACAUUCUGCCUAGCUUUGGAGCAUAACAACCUUAAAGAAAUAUUGAAAAGCCAAUGGCAUCAACACUUGACAACAAAUCAGAAAGCACUUCCUGAAGGAAGCAUUAAUGUGUGAUAUCUACCAUCAAGUUGUAAAUCAGAAUUGUGUUUGGCAGGUGUUGGUAUCUCUUUGCUCAGCAGGAGAUGGAGGUUUGGAGAAGCAACUGCAGACAUGGAACUGUCUGCAACCUUGAACAAAGGCCAUUGCAAUCUUAGAAUACUUCUGUUAGGGCAUUUGCCCAUCAACUGCCUGUUUAAACUUGGCCUGGCAUUACCCUUGUUAUUAAUAUUUGUAGUGAAAGAUAAGUAUUUCAAAACGUUUAUUUAAUCCUUAUUUUUUCCUAUAAAAACCUUUGUCUUCCUUAACUUCCCUGAAUACAUACAUAAUUUACUAUGACAAACAUAUACCCAUUACAACACUUAAUUCUCAAAUAAAUAUCUUUUAUUUGAAAGGGUCUCUGUUUAUUAUUUAAGUUGAAACAAUGUAUCCAAAAGCAGGUGAAUGCAGAACUUUUAAACUGUCAUCCAAGCACACAGAGAAGGCAUUAAUAUGAGUAUAAAACAGAUUUUUCUUGUGCCAAGGACAUAUUUUAAAGUAUUUUUCUAGUGACCUAGAUGGGAGGUCAUGAGGUAAUACAGGGAGAUUUCUAACAUUGGUAUUUACUUUGUUAAAGGCUGUCACCCUUGGGGCUCAACAACUUAAGGUCCUAAUGUGGUUUAUAAACUACAUGUUCAUUUCAAUAACUCCCUCCCAUUGAAAGGAAUAGAGUCAAGUUAAAAACAGCCACUCCCACAUGUUUCAG
rnacentral:lncRNA from 1 species